UGGAGGCAGCAGUGAGGAAUCUUGCACAAUGGGCGCAAGCCUGAUGCAGCGACGCCGCGUGAAUGAUGAAGGCUUUCGGGUUGUAAAGUUCAGUAAGCAGGGAAGAAUAAGUGGGGAGUAAUAUUCCUCAUGAUGACGGUACCUGCCUAAAGCCCCGGCUAACUACGUGCCAGCAGCCGCGGUAAUACGUAUGGGGCGAGCGUUGUUCGGAAUUAUUGGGCGUAAAGGGCGUCUAGGCGGGGAAUUAAGUUAGGUGUGAAAGCUAUGGGCUCAACCCAUAAACUGCAUCUAAAACUGAUUCUCUUGAGUUCGGGAGAGGAGAGCGGAAUUCCAGGUGUAGCGGUGAAAUGCGUAGAUAUCUGGAAGAACACCAGUGGCGAAGGCGGCUCUCUGGCCUAGAACUGACGCUGAAGCGCGAAAGCGUGGGGAGCGAACAGGAUUAGAUACCCCGGUAGC
rnacentral:rRNA from 1 species